GCGGCUACGGGAGGCCGGGCCGGGCCGGGCAGUGCAGGGAUAUUUGUUUUAAUCAUAGGAGCAAAAUUAGGCCAUUCGGCCCAUCAUAGAAACAUAGAAAAUAGGUGCAGGAGUAGGCCAUUCGGCCCUUCGAGCCUGCACCGCCAUUCAAUAUGAUCAUGGCUGAUCAUCCAACUCAGUAUCCCGUACCUGCCUUCUCUCCAUACCCCCUGAUCCCCUUUAGCCACAAGGGCCACAUCUAACUCCCUCUUAAAUAUAGCCAAUGAACUGGCCUCAACUACCCUCUGUGGCAGAGAGUUCCAGAGAUUCACCACUCUCUGUGUGAAAAAAGUCUAUUCCGUCACUCAAUCAAGGCUGGUCUUGAUCAAGAAGAGUUGUGGACAACGCCUUUUACAGACCAUGAAUGUUAAAGUUUUAAUGGGCUAGAAGGCUUGGUACUUGAAGAUGGAAGUAUUUUGCGAGAAUUGCUCACAGCCUGCAGAUCGAGGAACACUGUAACCAUGCAUUACUCAACAUCUCAAGUCCUCUUCAGAUGGGCAAGUUGACCUGAGCUUUUUGAUCAAAGUCUCAUGAUUUUGUUGAAUAUCUACAGCCGGAAAACAAAAUUACAUUUUCUGAGCGAAUGUGUGGCCUCGAAUUAAAAAGGGAGGAAUAGGACAUUAUUUACCUCAUUGAAAUUCCAGGCACUUAGAUGAGUUCAAAUAACAACAAGGACCUGUUGAAUAGAGAAAGGUUGAUAACAGUGAAGCUGAUAAUAACAGCCAAGCUGGGAAAUUCAUGUUUCAUUUAUAAAAGCACUAUUCAAACCCC